rnacentral:rRNA from 1 species
UGGGGAAUAUUGCACAAUGGGCGCAAGCCUGAUGCAGCCAUGCCGCGUGUAUGAAGAAGGCCUUCGGGUUGUAAAGUACUUUCAGUCGGGAGGAAGGUGGUAAGGCUAAUAACCUUAUCAAUUGACGUUACCGACAGAAGAAGCACCGGCUAACUCCGUGCCAGCAGCCGCGGUAAUACGGAGGGUGCAAGCGUUAAUCGGAAUUACUGGGCGUAAAGCGCACGCAGGCGGUUGAUUGAGUCAGAUGUGAAAUCCCCGGGCUCAACCUGGCAACUGCAUCUGAUACUGGCAAGCUUGAGUCUCGUAGAGGGGGGUAGAAUUCCAGGUGUAGCGGUGAAAUGCGUAGAGAUCUGGGGGAAUACCGGUGGCGAAGGCGGCCCCCUGGACAAAGACUGACGCUCAGGUGCGAAAGCGUGGGGAGCAAACAGG